rnacentral:rRNA from 1 species
AUUGAACGCUGGCGGCAGGCCUAACACAUGCAAGUCGAACGGUAACAGGAAGCAGCUUGCUGCUUUGCUGACGAGUGGCGGACGGGUGAGUAAUGUCUGGGAAACUGCCCGAUGGAGGGGGAUAACUACUGGAAACGGUAGCUAAUACCGCAUAACGUCGCAAGACCAAAGAGGGGGACCUUAGGGCCUCUUGCCAUCGGAUGUGCCCAGAUGGGAUUAGCUAGUAGGUGGGGUAACGGCUCACCUAGGCGACGAUCCCUAGCUGGUCUGAGAGGAUGACCAGCCACACGGGAACUGAGAAAAGGUCCAGACUCCUAAGGGAGGCAGCAGUGGGGAAUAUUGCACAAUGGGCGCAAGCCUGAUGCAGCCAUGCCGCGUGUAUGAAGAAGGCCUUCGGGUUGGAAAGUACUUUCAGCGGGGAGGAAGGGAGUAAAGUUAAUACCUGUGCUCAUUGACGUUACCCGCAGAAGAAGCACCGGCUAACUCCGUG